rnacentral:rRNA from 1 species
AUUGAACGCUGGCGGCAUGCUUUACACAUGCAAGUCGAACGGCAGCACGAAAGAGCUUGCUCUUUUGGUGGCGAGUGGCGCACGGGUGAGUAAUGCAUCGGAACGUACCGAGUAAUGGGGGAUAACUGUCCGAAAGGAUAGCUAAUACCGCAUACGCUUUGAGAAGGAAAGUGGGGGCUCUUCGGACCUCACGUUAUUCGAGCGGCCGAUGUCUGAUUAGCUAGUUGGUGGGGUAAAGGCCUACCAAGGCGACGAUCAGUAGCGGGUCUGAGAGGAUGAUCCGCCACACUGGGACUGAGACACGGCCCAGACUCCUACGGGAGGCAGCAGUGGGGAAUUUUGGACAAUGGGCGCAAGCCCGAUCCAGCCAUGCCGCGUGUCUGAAGAAGGCCUUCGGGUUGUAAAGGACUUUUGUUAGGGAAGAAAAGGAUAGUGUUAAUACCAUUAUCUGCUGACGGUACCUAAAGAAUAAGCACCGGCUAACUACGUG